rnacentral:rRNA from 1 species
ACGAACGCUGGCGGCGUGCUUAACACAUGCAAGUCGAACGGAGAACUUAUUUCGGUAAGUUCUUAGUGGCGAACGGGUGAGUAACGCGUGGGCAACCUGCCCUCCAGUUGGGGACAACAUUCCGAAAGGGAUGCUAAUACCGAAUGUGCUCCCUCCUCCGCAUGGAGGAGGGAGGAAAGAUGGCCUCUGCUUGCAAGCUAUCGCUGGAAGAUGGGCCCGCGUCUGAUUAGCUAGUUGGUGGGGUAACGGCUCACCAAGGCGAUGAUCAGUAGCCGGUCUGAGAGGAUGAACGGCCACAUUGGGACUGAGACACGGCCCAAACUCCUACGGGAGGCAGCAGUGGGGAAUCUUCCGCAAUGGACGAAAGUCUGACGGAGCAACGCCGCGUGAGUGAUGAAGGUCUUCGGAUUGUAAAACUCUGUUGUUAGGGACGAAAGCACCGUGUUCGAACAGGUCAUGGUGUUGACGGUACCUAACGAGGAAGCCACGGCUAACUACGUGCCAGCAGCCGCGGUAAUACGUAGGUGGCAAGCGUUGUCCGGAAUUAUUGGGCGUAAAGAGCAUGUAGGCGGGCUUUUAAGUCUGACGUGAAAAUGCGGGGCUUAACCCCGUAUGGCGUUGGAUACUGCAAGUCUUGCCUGCAGGAGAGGAAACGGGAAUUCCCAGGUUAGCGGUGAAAUGCGUAGAUAUUGGGAGGAACACCAGUGGCGAAGGCGCCUUUCUGGACUGUGUCUGACGCUGAGAUGCGAAAGCCAGGGCAGCAAACGGGAUUAGAUACCCCGGUAGUCCUGGCCGUAAACGAUGGAUACUAGGUGUAGGAGGUAUCGACCCCUUCUGUGCCGGAGUUAACGCAAUAAGUAUCCCGCCUGGGGACUACGAUCGCAAGAUUGAAACUCAAAGGAAUUGACGGGGGCCCGCACAAGCAGUGGAGUAUGUGGUUUAAUUCGACGCAACGCGAAGAACCUUACCAAGUCUUGACAUCCCUUGACGAUGCUGGAAACAGUAUUUCUCUUCGGAGCAAGGAGACAGGUGGUGCAUGGUUGUCGUCAGCUCGUGUCGUGAGAUGUUGGGUUAAGUCCCGCAACGAGCGCAACCCUUAUGGUCAGUUACUACGCAAGAGGACUCUGGCCAGACUGCCGUUGACAAAACGGAGGAAGGUGGGGAUGACGUCAAAUCAUCAUGCCCCUUAUGACCUGGGCUACACACGUGCUACAAUGGACGGUACAACGAGUCGCGAGACCGCGAGGUUUAGCUAAUCUCUUAAAGCCGUUCUCAGUUCGGAUUGUAGGCUGCAACUCGCCUACAUGAAGUCGGAAUCGCUAGUAAUCGCGGAUCAGCACGCCGCGGUGAAUACGUUCCCGGGCCUUGUACACACCGCCCGUCACACCACGAGAGUUUGUAACACCCGAAGUCGGUGAGGUAACCUUUAUGGAGCCAGCCGCCUAAGGUGGGAUAGAUGAUUGGGGUG